GGGGUAGGGGAGCAGUUGGGCUUGAUGAUCUUGGAGGUCUUUUCCAACCCAAACCGUUCUAUGGUUCUACUUUUUACCCGUUGUGUACCCCUCGAGAUUGAGAAUUCAACCAGGGUGUGAUUGCUGCAGCCCAGGCUACCUCCAGGCUUGACCUCUCUGAUAAGUGAGCCACGGGUCCAGCGGUGCUUCUCCUCUGGUCGGGCUCUCCAUCAUCUCUGCUAGGAAGUUGUCCUCAAUGCGCUCCAGUGGCUUCCUGGACUGUUCGCAGUUCGCUGUGCUGCUUUUCCACUAUGUGUCUGGGUGGCUGAAGUCCCCUGUCAGGAUCAGGGCCUGCGAGCGCGAUGCUCCCUGCAAAUAUCUGCUGUCAUCUCCUUUUGGGUUGGGGGAAAAACAUCUGCUGGCCUUGCAUUGCACGUGGAGAAUAAGAAGCAGCUCCGAUGGGGGGAAAAGACCUUCUCGUCAGUCCCAUGCUGAUCUGAGGAUUUGCUGCCUACCUGCAGACUGCUGAGUCGCUGGGCACCCCCAGCUCAAAGCCAUUUGCCAGACCAAGUUGGCUCCUGGUCCCAGUGAGAGCGUCCUGGCCGCGGGGAACAGCGUGGUGAGCUCGCGUCCUGCUGACGGCUGAACGAUGGGCUGGCCCCCGUGCUUUGUUGUCAGACGGACGAGCAAAUAGCUCCCAGACAAAGCUGGCCCAGAAGGGCUUUCUGUGUGGCCACCAGCGCUCGGGCACAUCGUCAUCUGGCCCUGCAGAGAGCGUGGAGGGGGUCGGUGCUUUUGUAGCGGUUUGCCUUAAAGCUGAUGGCUGCUUUCAGGCUCUUUCACCAGCAAACCCACCAAAAUCCUUUCCUAAAAUCCCCUUGGGAUGCUCUGAACAGGAAUGCUUUUCUGGUGAAUGAGGUCAGAUUGGUGUGUCUGGUUUGUACGAGCGGUUUAGCGAUCCCCUCCUAUGAGCGUGAUUUUUCUAACUGGUAACGGAUUCGAUGGCCGGGAGUGUUGUUUUCGCGGCGUGAAGGCGGCACCGCACCGCGUGCCACGGCAGUGGGGUUUUCUGCCCCGCUCCCAGUGUAGCUGAGCCUGAAGCUUCCAAGAGCAGGAGCUGUCAAGAAAUAAACCGUGGCUUGCUGGUUGGAAGAGUGCCGGCCGCUGAGACGAACUGAGUUUGCCCAGUGAGAUGCGGUGGGGUCCCUCUGGGCACCUUCUCCUGUGAAGGUGAAAAGCAAAGCUCCUCAUUGCCUCUCGCUGUUCUCUGUGGCUCCCGAUGUGGAUUCAAACCCAGUGCGGUGACUCCCAGCCUGACUGGGAGGAGUCAAGGGUCUCUUGGUGCCAAAGCUGUUUGGUGUUUCCGCACCUGCCCCUUCCCAGAAGAGCAACGAGCUACUGCUGCUGGUGGCCAACGCUUGUUUUCGCUCCCACCUUGGCGGGAGAGCGUCUAAAUCUGCCAAAAUCUGGAAAAUUGCCUCUUCGUUUGUUAUGAUGCUUAGGAGGAAACCAUCGGCGUGGAGUUAUUGCAUCUGUAGAGAGGAGGUGCUUGGGUUGGGCACCAGGCAAGUGGUGGGAGACCCUCGGACCUCAGUUCUGGACGGUCUCUGCCUUCCCUGUGCCUGCCCCGGGCCUUCGGGCAGAGCAGAGCGGUGCUUGCAGCCGGAGGCACUCGCACCUACCUGCUGCAGUUUGGAGUAAACCCAACAUCUCCAGGCUUUGGUCGCAGCCAGAAAUUGGGGUGGCUCUGCAGAAAGUGUAAAGAGGGAAACUGUGCAUGACUUGUCAGGGGCCAUCACAUUGCAAAGCUUGAUCCUCUCGGCAUUAGUUGUGUAAAUUUUGAUGAUGCGCCAGUAACUGUUUCUCCAAACGU